rnacentral:rRNA from 1 species
UGGGCGUUAAGUUGCAGGGUAUAGACCCGAAACCCGGUGAUCUAGCCAUGGGCAGGUUGAAGGUUGGGUAACACUAACUGGAGGACCGAACCGACUAAUGUUGAAAAAUUAGCGGAUGACCUGUGGCUGGGGGUGAAAGGCCAAUCAAACCGGGAGAUAGCUGGUUCUCCCCGAAAGCUAUUUAGGUAGCGCCUCGUGAAUUCAUCUCCGGGGGUAGAGCACUGUUUCGGCUAGGGGGCCAUCCCGGCUUACCAACCCGAUGCAAACUGCGAAUACCGGAGAAUGUUAUCACGGGAGACACACGGCGGGUGCUAACGUCCGUCGUGAAGAGGGAAACAACCCAGACCGCCAGCUAAGGUCCCAAAGUCAUGGUUAAGUGGGAAACGAUGUGGGAAGGCCCAGACAGCCAGGAUGUUGGCUUAGAAGCAGCCAUCAUUUAAAGAAAGCGUAAUAGCUCACUGGUCGAGUCGGCCUGCGCGGAAGAUGUAACGGGGCUAAACCAUGCACCGAAGCUGCGGCAGCGACACUCAGGUGUUGUUGGGUAGGGGAGCGUUCUGUAAGCCUGUGAAGGUGGCCUGUGAGGGUUGCUGGAGGUAUCAGAAGUGCGAAUGCUGACAUAAGUAACGAUAAAGCGGGUGAAAAGCCCGCUCGCCGGAAGACCAAGGGUUCCUGUCCAACGUUAAUCGGGGCAGGGUGAGUCGACCCCUAAGGCGAGGCCGAAAGGCGUAGUCGAUGGGAAACGGGUUAAUAUUCCCGUACUUGGUGUUACUGCGAAGGGGGGACGGAGAAGGCUAUGUUGGCCGGGCGACGGUUGUCCCGGUUUAAGCGUAUAGGUGUGUGUUCCAGGUAAAUCCGGUUCACUUUAACACUGAGGCGUGAUGACGAGGCGCUACGGUGCUGAAGCAACAAAUGCCCUGCUUCCAGGAAAAGCCUCUAAGCAUCAGGUAACAUCAAAUCGUACCCCAAACCGACACAGGUGGUCAGGUAGAGAAUACCAAGGCGCUUGAGAGAACUCGGGUGAAGGAACUAGGCAAAAUGGUGCCGUAACUUCGGGAGAAGGCACGCUGACAUGUAGGUGAAGUGAUUUACUCACGGAGCUGAAGUCAGUCGAAGAUACCAGCUGG